ensembl:snRNA U6 U6 spliceosomal RNA
AUGCUCACUUCGUCAGCACAUAUACUAAAAUUGGAACAAUACAGAGAUUAGCCUGGCCCCUGUGCAAAGAUGACAUGCAAAUUCGUGAAGUGUUUCAGAUUUUA